CCAAUACCCAGGUAGUAGUAUCAUAAACAGAAAAAUUACAAGGUGUUAUCAUAUAAGUACCUUAUGAAGCAACCGAUUGUUUCUUUUUCUUAUUCUUAGGCCUGUUUGGGUCAAGGAUAGCUAUAUAAGUAGGACAAUUUCUUUUUUAAUGAUCCAGCUUCUUACAGAAGAAGUACUCUGCAUGGCUCUUAUCAACUUUUGAUAGUUUGCUCUGUUU
rnacentral:lncRNA from 1 species